rnacentral:rRNA from 1 species
UAAGACGAACCGUACGAACGUUAUUCGGAAUCACUGGGCUUAAAGGGUGCGUAGGCUGUGCGGCAAGUUAGGUGUGAAAUACCUCAGCUUAACUGAGGAACUGCGCCUAAAACUGCCGUGCUCGAGGGAGACAGAGGUGAGCGGAACUUAGGGUGGAGCGGUGAAAUGCGUUGAUAUCCUAAGGAACACCGGUGGCGAAAGCGGCUCACUGGGUCUCUUCUGACGCUGAGGCACGAAAGCUAGGGUAGCGAACGGGAUUAGAUACCCCGGUAGUCCUAGCUGUAAACGAUGAGCACUUGGUUGAAGGGUCCUCCAUAGCCUUUCAGCCGGAGCGAAAGUGUUAAGUGCUCCGCCUGGGGAGUAUGGUCGCAAGGCUG